rnacentral:rRNA from 1 species
AACGAACGCUGGCGGCAUGCCUAACACAUGCAAGUCGAACGAGACCUUCGGGUCUAGUGGCGCAUGGGCGCGUAACGCGUGGGAACCUGCCCUUAGGUUCGGAAUAACUCCCCGAAAGGGGCGCUAAUAACGGAUAAUGUCCUCGGACCAAAGAUCUAUCGCCUUUGUAUGGGACCGCGUUGGAUUAGAUAGUUGGUAGGGUAAAAGCCUAACAACGCGACGAUCCAUAGCUGGUCUGAGAGGAUGAUCAGCCACACUGGGACUGAGACACGGCCCAGACUCCUACGGGAGGCAGCAGUGGGGAAUAUUGGACCAUGGGCGAAAGCCUGAUCCAGCAAUGCCGCGUGAGUGAUGAAGGCCUUAGGGUUGUAAAGCUCUUUUACCCGGGAUGAUAAUGACAGUACCGGGAGAAUAAGCUCCGGCUAACUCCGUG